rnacentral:rRNA from 1 species
GGUUCGAUUAUGGCUCAGAUUGAACUGGCGGGAGCCGCUUACACACAUGUCGAACGUUAAAAGUAAUGCGGACUUUGGUCUGGUGGCGAGUGGCGAACGGGUGAGUACGACGGAACGUGCCUAGUAGCGGGGAUAACUACGCGAAAGCGCGACACGCACAUUGCCUCGGGGAAAGCGGACCUUCUGGCCUCGCACUAUUAGAGCGGCCGAUAUCGGAUUAGCUAGUUGGUAAGUAACGGCUCACCAAGGCGACGAUCCGUAGCUGGUUUGAGAGACGACCAGCCACACUGGGACGAGAUGAUUGCCCAGACUCCUACGGGAGGCAGUGGGGAAUUCUGGACAAUGGGGGAAACCCUGAUCCAGUCAUCCCGUGCGUGCGAUGAAGGCCUUCGGGUUGUAAAGCACUUUUGGCAGGAAAGAAACGGCACGGGAUAAUACCGUGCAACUGACGGUACCUGCAAUAAGCACCGGCUAACUACGCCAGCAGCCGCACACGUAGUGUUACGUUAAUCGGAAUUACUGGGCGAAGCGCAGGCGGCUGGAAAGAUGAAAUCCCAGAGUUUAACUUGGAAUCGCAUUUUUAACUACCGAGCUAGAGUGUGUCAGAGGAGGUGGAAUUCGCGUAGCAGUGAAUGCGUAGAUAUGCGGAGAGGAACAAUGAUGGCGAAGGCAGCUUCCUGGGAUAACACUGACGCUCAUGCACGAAAGCGUGGGGAGCAAACAGGAUUAGAUACUCCUGGUAGUCCACGCCCUAAACGAUGUCAACUAGCUGUUGCGGGGCCUCGGCCUGGUAGCGCAGCUAACGCGUGAAGACCGCCUGGGGAGUAAUAAUGCAAGAUUAAAACUCAAAGGAAUUGAUUUGGACCUGCACAAGUGUGAUGAUGUGGAUUAAUUCGAUGCAACGCGAAAAACCUGUCUACCUUUGAUGAUGUCUUGAAUCCCGAAGAGAUUUGGGAGUGCUCGCAAGAGAACCGGAACACAGGUGCCGUAUGGUCGUCGUCAGCUCGUGUCAGAGAUGCUGCUGGAGUCCAUAACGAGCGCAACUCCUUGUCAUUAGUUGUUACGAAAGCAGCACUCUUAUCGAGACUGUUGCACAAACCGGAGGAAGGUGGGAUGACGUUUGUCUCAUGGCCCUUAUGGUAGGGCUUCACACGUCAUACAAUGGUCGGGACAGAGGUCGCCAACCCGCGAGGGAGCCAAUCCCAGAAACCCAUGACCCGGCGAUCGCAGUCUGCAACUCGACUGCGUGAAGUCGGAACGCCAGUAAUCGCGGAUCAGCAUGUCGCGGUGAAUACGUUCCUGGUCUUGUGCCACCACCGCCCGUCACACCGGCCGGGAGUGGGUUUUACCAGAAGUGGUUAGCCUAACCGUGCGGAGGGCGAUUACCACGUAGGAUUCAUGACUGGGGUGAAGUUGUAACAAGGUAAAGCCCUUUGUUAUUUACCUGAUGCUCCCCCC